AACAGGCAAGAGCUCAGAUUUGAAAGGCACUUUUGUGCCGUUGUAUUCUGAAGUUAGGGUCCUGAGAAACGAUGCUUAAGUCUUCUGGAAAGGAGCGCCAUGGAGGGUGAUAGCCCCGUCUAGCAUUGACCUCAUAUAGGAUCUUAACAUGGAGUCGAGUUGUUUGGGAAUGCAGCUCAAAUGGGUGGUAUGCUCCAUCUAAAGCUAAAUAUCUGCGAGAGACCGAUAGUAAACAAGUACUGUGAGGGAAAGAUGAAAAGAACUUUGAAAAGAGAGUGAAAAAGUACGUGAAAUUGUUGAAAUGGAAGGGUAGGCCGCUAACCAUGUAGAGCCGUGUUUGGGGGGAAGAUAAAUGCU
rnacentral:rRNA from 1 species